rnacentral:tRNA from 1 species
AUUUAUAUAGUUUAAAAAAAAACCUUACAUUUUCAUUGUAAUAAUAAAAACUUAAUUAUUUUUUAUAAAUA